rnacentral:tRNA from 1 species
GGAAGGGUCGCAUAGCUGGUCUAGUGCGGUGGUUUGCUAAACCGCUGUACGGAUGAAAGUCCGUACCGAGGGUUCGAAUCCCUCCCCUUCCG